UGUUAAAAAAUUUAUCCAAUUCUACUCUUAAAAACUGGAGUGGUUGACUGAAUAUCUAGACAGUUACAUGUUGUGUGCCAUGUGUAGCUCAUUAUGACGUACAAGGACUAGGUUUUAACAAUAGAAAUAGAUAGAAUUCUUAAUA
rfam:Gossypium raimondii Chr08_contig_1304, whole genome shotgun sequence.